rnacentral:rRNA from 1 species
GGUAUACCGGAAGGUGUACCUGGAAUUAAU